GUUGAAACACCGGUCUUCGUAGGAUCACCUAAGUUAAGCAACGUCGAGCAUGGUCAAUACUUGGAUGGGUGACCGUUUGGAAAUCUCAGGUGUUGUAAG